rnacentral:rRNA from 1 species
UACGGAGGGGGCUAGCGUUGUUCGGAAUUACUGGGCGUAAAGCGCACGUAGGCGGCUUUGUAAGUUAGAGGUGAAAAGCCCAGGGCUUAACCCUGGAAUUGCCUUUAAGACUGCAUCGCUAGAAUCGUGGAGAGGUGAGUGGAAUUCCGAGUGUAGAGGUGAAAUUCGUAGAUAUUCGGAAGAACACCAGUGGCGAAGGCGACUCACUGGACACGUAUUGACGCUGAGGUGCGAAAGCGUGGGGAGCAAACAGG